GGGCUUCGGCCCAACCUCCCACCCCUUGUGUAUCUCUCUGGCUUGCCUCGGCGGUCGCCGGCUGUUCAGGCUGGCCCGCCAGAGGACCUCUAUCAACGCUGUAACAGUGGGUGGUCCGAGUGUACGCGUAACGCAUAAAACUUUCAACAACGGAUCUCUUGGCUCUGGCGUCGAUGAAGAACGCAGCGAAAUGCGAUAAGUAGUACGAAUUGCAGAAUUCAGCGAAUGAUCGAAUCUUUGAACGCACAUUGCGCCCUCUGGUAGUCCGGAGGGCACGCCUGUUCGAGCGUCAUUAACCCCCUCAAGCCUAGCUUGGUAUUGGGCCCCGUCCCUUCGAGGACGGGCCUUAAACUUCUGGGCGGCACUGCCUCUGCUCUAUGCAACGGGGAGUCUCUUCCAUGCGUAGAGCGGGCGGGGUGCCUGCCAUCUAUGGCUCUCGGGCCUCUCAGACUCUGACCUCGGAUCAGGCGGGAAUACCCGC
rnacentral:rRNA from 1 species